rnacentral:rRNA from 1 species
GGGCCCGCACAAGCAGUGGAGCAUGUGGUUUAAUUCGACGAUACGCGAAGAACCUUACCAAGACUUGACAUCCGCAGAAUUUUCUAGAGAUAGAGAAGUGCCUUCGGGAACUGCGUGACAGGUGGUGCAUGGCUGUCGUCAGCUCGUGUCGUGAGAUGUUGGGUUAAGUCCCGCAACGAGCGAAACCCUUGUCUUAUGUUGCCAGCACGUUAUGGUGGGGACUCAUAAGAGACUGCCCGUAAAAAGCGGGAGGAAGGUGAGGACGACGUCAAGUCAUCAUGCCCCUUACGUCUUGGGCUACACACAUGCUACAAUGGCCGGUACAAUGGGUCGCCAAACCGCGAGGUGGAGCCAAUCCCUUAAAACCGGUCUCAGUUCGGAUUGUAGUCUGCAACUCGACUACAUGAAGUCGGAAUUGCUAGUAA